UUCAAACAUCAUCAAUGAUGAACAUACAUGAACAAUUUAAAACAUAAAUUUCAUUCAACAAAUAUCAAUAUUCAUCAUUAAUCCAAAAAAAAAACUUUCCUCUACCCUUCCAUUCAUGUCCCUAUUGUUGAACCAAAUUUCCACUCUUACCUUGUAAUUCCAGAAAAUCCAACAUUUUGGCUAUGGUUUCUCUUUCCCAUAGCUCUCCUUAGGUUUUCC
rnacentral:lncRNA from 1 species